AGCUCCAAUAGCGUAUAUUAAAGUUGUUGCAGUUAAAAAGCUCGUAGUUGGAUUUGUGGUGUGCGCCUUGGCGUUGGGAUUCGUUUCCUUUUCUGCCUUGGCCGCGCCAUCCUUGGGUGGAAUCUGUGUGGCAUUAGGUUGUCGUGCAGGGGAUGCCCAUCGUUUACUGUGAAAAAAUUAGAGUGUUCAAAGCAGGCUUAUGCCGUUGAAUAUAUUAGCAUGGAAUAAUAAGAUAGGUCUUUGGUCCUAUUUUGUUGGUUUGCGGGCCGGAGAAAUGAUUAACAGGGACAGUUGGGGGUAUUCGUAUUCCAUUGUCAGAGGUGAAAUUCUUGGAUUUCUGGAAGACGAACUACUGCGAAAGCAUUUACCAAGGAUGUUUUCAUUAAUCAAGAACGAAAGU
rnacentral:rRNA from 1 species